rnacentral:snRNA from 1 species
GUACUCACUUUGGGGGCCCAUAUACUAAAACUAGAACAAUACAGAGAAGAGCCACGUGACCCCUGCACAAGGAGGACACGCAAAUUCCAUAUUUUUUGCAUGAUUUU